rnacentral:lncRNA from 1 species
UUUUUUUACACUAUAAAGCUAACAAAUGAUUCUAAUUUCUAAAUUAAUAAAAGAAAAAACUAUGGUUAAAGUUUAUAUGUUUAUUACUUAUGCUAUGGUUAUCUUUUUUUCCAUAUUUAUUUCUAUAUCAAGGGGUAAGUAAUUUUUAUUAUCCGGUAAAUUCUGGUAUCUCAAAAUUUAGUUUGAUGUAAUGGUAUUUCUAUACAAAAUUGAAUAUCAUAUUUUUAUAUUAUUAUAUAGGGUUAAAUAAAUUUUUUGUUGCUAUAAAUAUGUCCAAUAUCGUUUUUAAUUCUUAUAAAAAAUUUCAGGAAGUUUUUAUCCUCAAAUAUAUACCGUGCGAUUUUUCGUCUCUGCUUUUAGGUCAAAUCAUCUAUAUAUAUUUAUUUGGUUUACAAUGGAGUCAGUGAGAGUCGAAUUUAGGACCUCAAACAUAUAUAUUAUUCAAACCUCUAACUACUAGACCAAACCUAAUGACUUGUAAACUUACCUAUAUUAAUUGAAAUUUUUAUUGUUUUCAGCAUUCAUUACAAAAAAUUAAUCUCCCGAUCAAUCUUUCAUAAUUUUUAAUGAGUUUUUAUAUUUGCAUUUAUAAAAAUAAAAAUCUCUCCAUCAAAUAUUUAGUUUUUUACAACACAACAGAUGAAUUAGAUAUGAAUUUCUAAGUUUUUGACGCUUAAAAAAAUCAUAUUUAAUUCAUCUAAUUUAAAAAGUUCUAAAUUGUUGUGGGAGAGAUUUUUAUAUUAUUAUAAACAUAGAUACAAAAGACUCAUUCAAAAAUAUGAAAGUAUACAUGAGUUGACUUAAAAAUAGGAAUCAAAAGUUAUGAAAGAAAUAUUUGGGAGACUAAAACUUGCUAAAUUUUUUUAUAUAGACUAAAAAUGAAAUUUGAAAAUAUUUAUACUAUUCAAAAACGUGUUUAACCCUAAUUUUUAUUAAAAUAAAUUAAAAUUUUAAAUGAUUUUUAUCCAAAUUUGAUAUAUGUAUAUAAAGAUUCCUAAUAAUUUUACCUUUAAAUUUUCUUAUUCAAAUUGUUUCACCGUCAUUUUGAUAACGUUCUUUUUCUUAUUAGCUACGUGUCGAAAUAACGCGGAUUGUCAAAAUUAUGUUUGUAUCGAUGCUGGCGAUGUUCCAAUCUGCGUCUUUUGGGUUACGGAGCCUGAAUUUAAAAGGACAGAGUUUGGGGUUUGUGCAUGUGUCGAGAAGGUCACAAAGCACAAAAUUAGUGGCUAGAUUGUGAAUAUAUACAUACUCCCUCCAGUCCUUAAUAUAAGAAAAAAUUUAUUUUUUAGAUUCAUGGAAUCUAGAAAACUGGGCCAAUUAUUCUUAAAAAUGGACCAAAUAUAUCAAUCAUUCGAUGAAUUUAGAAAACAAAAGUUUUCUUAUGUAAGGGACCAGAGGGAGUAUUUAUAAAGAACCCGUAAAAGGUAAUUAAAAUAAAAAUAAAAUUAUGUUGCUGCUCUGUUUGUUUCAUACUUAUAUUUAUUUUAGUAAAUUAUACUCCCCUAUUUUGAAUAAUAUUUUUCUCCUCUCUUAUAUGUUACAAGAUCGGAUAAUAGUCUUGCUUCUCUUAUAAAAUUUCAUCAUGCUUUUAUAUAUAUUAUCUUUUAAAAGGAAGUUUGAGUAACUCCUAGACAAGCUUUGUGAUGAUGUGACAUAUCUAAAUGAAUUCCAAUUCUACAUUUUCUAUUAACUUUGCUCCAUGAUAUGACUAGUACAAAAAACGUUUUUUAAGUCGGUUAAAAACGACUAUUUAAAUCGGUUCCUAACCUGACUUAACAGUUACAGUCAUUAUAAGUUUUGAUAUGUUAAGUCAGAUUUUUAGCCGACUUAAGAAUACACUUCUUAAGUUUGUUGAUUUGUCAUUUAACCGACCUACAACGUACUUCUUAAGUCAGGUAAUUGCUUAACAACAGACUUAACAAGAUUUUUCUUAAGUCGGUCAAUAUUGUACACAUUGUCAAAUUAAAUAAAACUACUUUUUUUUUUUCCUAAGUGUACUGGGUUCGAUUCACUCAUGGCAUUGUCAUUUAAUUUGUUAAAUUAAAUAAAAUUGCUUAGGUCAGGCGCGGGAGAACAGACUUAACAAAUAUAUAUAUCACUUAUUGAGUUUUGAAUUUUCCAUCCUGCAUCGCUUCUAUUCCUAAGGCAGUUCAUUGGGGAAAGUCCCAACCCAGAAAAAUAAAACGAAAAAAGAGGCAAGACAGAGUGUGAAAGGAAAGGCAGAUUGACUAAUUGGUUGAAUAAGUUCUAGGUUCACAGUAAAAUAUACUACUUUUGUCAAUUUUAAUAAAAUUAAUUAAAUCUUUUUGUGAUGACAAUUAACUUUAAAUCUCUAUUUAAUGUAAAACUAUUUUCAGAUUAUCAUUUAAGAAAUUAAAUUUCUUUUUUUUUUUUUGAAAAUUUUAUCAUUACUCAUAUGAUUUCAGAAUAUAAAAAUUUAUUUAAAGUAUUUUUUAAAAAUUGGCUAUAGUAAUUUAUUCAAAUAUUUUAUUUUGUAUAGUUUAAUAAUUUAUGAGAUCGGCUGUCUAGAAUUAUAUGUUAAUGAUGUGAAUAAAAAAUAUGAAAAUAAAUGUAUUAAAAGUUUGAUUAUAUUAAAUAGAUAGAAGUGUUUCUUAGAAAAGUGUAGAUUUUAUAUUAUUAAGAAAAAUGUAGAUUUUAAGAUGAGGGGGAAAAGAAAAAAAAAUUCAAGCUCUUUAUGUAACAAAAAAAAUUAUUAAAACCCAAAUAAGCACAAGAAGUGCAUACAAGGGUAGUGAUGGGGAACACUAAUCAGUGUUGCACAAAAGGUAGAAGAGAGAUCAUUAGACACUAAAAAAAAGUGUCUAAUUGCAGUAUGUUUAUUGCGGCGGUUGACACGAAACCUAUUUAUUAGAUUAUUGUUAUUUAUUUGUUUAAGUAUUUCUUCAUAUUUUGUCAUUUUUUCUAUUUUGUGUGCUUGUGGAAGGGUCAGUAUAUAAUAUUAGAAUUUGUUAGUAAACUCAAAUUUAGAAUUUUAGACAAUAAAAUUAGAAGAGAAUUAGUAGUUAGAAAUUGACAACUAUUGAGAAAUUGUUAGCGCAUAUAAUAGACAAGUUUAGUAGGUGAGUUUAUGAUUUAUUUUAGUUAGAGUAGAAAAAUAGAAAACAUUAAUAGUAAUAAUAUGAAAAUAGUAAUGGACUUGGGUUGAGUUAUGAGGAAGUAGAGUAGGGGUGUAGAGAGCAAGCCCAAGGAUAAAAUAAGGAUAAUUACUUAUUUUAUUUAUAAUAAUUGGUCGGGAAAUGAGGGUGUUACAAAACCCACUAUUUCAAGAGAAAUUCGAGGCAGAAAUUUUUGAAAAAAGGAGCAAUUCAGGUUUAAACUUGGUAUCAUCUUUGAAGGAUGAAUUCAAGUGCUUUUCAAAGUAAUGAUAUUGUCAGUCUCUCCAAGAGAUAGCUUCCUAAGCAUCUGACCUAUGACAAGCAUUAUCUGUAAUUUCUGUCAAAAGGUAUCAAGAUUAAUCUCUCUGCAUCAAGGAAAGUCUUGAUAAAUCCAUAGCUCGUGUUGCACAUCCAAGAUUGCUCUCUGAAUUAUUCUAUCAAACUAAGUUAAUAGAAAGGUUGAAAGAAUACUUUGAAGCUAAUGUGGAAGAAACUAUAGGAUGCAUUCUGGAUGCUGAGAUUCUGAUUGAGUUGGAUUUAAAAUGGAAGGAUGAAAUUAGGACCCAUUAGAAUCUCUGAAGUUAAGGUCUGAAGAACCCUUGUUUUUCGAAGACUUUUCGUCUAUCUCUGACGAAGUGUGAAGAUAAGUCAUUCUAAGUUAUCUUAAAAUGGUCAGAAUGGAAACGAAUGUCACUGGUUCAGGAGAUGGAGCUCCUAAUGUAUCUGGAGAUAAUUUGCAGUCAGCUGGAAAGAGAAAGAGGAAGACAAAGAAGGUGGGUUCUAUAAGGAUGAAGGGUCAGAGAUAGAGGCAGAUGAUAGGGACCGGAUUGGUGAACUGCAUCUAUCUCUAACCAUGUGGUCUAUACUGUAAUGUCUUUUUAUUUUCAAACACAUCUAUCUCAAUAAAAACAGAACAUGCUCAAAUUACAUCACAGUUUUGUAGUUUGUUUCUUUAUUCUUGAGUUAUGUUUACAUUGAAAAAGUAUCACCGUAGCAAAUGUAGGAUUCAUGAGGCAGGUAGUUAUUGCACCCCCAUCACAGGUACCUGAUCGUUGCUCACUACAAGAAAAUCCCCAUUUAGUGGCCGCAUUUGGCCACCACAAAAUGGGAAAAACGGCUACAAAAUUGAAAACCUGUCCGAUUUAUCAGCGGUACGGUCAUGGUCGGCCGCAAAAAAUGUUGCUGGUAACACUUACCGGCGGUUUAAUCAGCCGNNCAGGCCCGCCGCAAGUUAGUUAUUACUAGUAUUUUUUAAGAAAAAGUUAAAAUCACUUCCGGAAAUUCCAUCGCAGGUUCAUGUUCUUCUUGAGCAACCAAAAAUGUAUUGAAUGAAGAUGCCCCUAAAUUCACAAACCCAUAAUUGAUUUUGCAAACCUAGAAUUUCGCAAACCCAUAAUUGAUUUUGCAAAUCUAGAGUUUUCUUCUUGUUGUUAGAUGUUGUGUUUCUCUAUGUUGGAAAAGAGAAAGAAUUUUUUUCUUUGCCUUAAAAAGAGAAAGAGUUGUGAUGCUGUUGUGUUUAUGUGAGUAGGAAAAGAGAAAAGAGAUUUUUUUCUUUUUAAGAUAUGCAUUAUUUACCGGUGGCUUAUGCCGUCAUUAAUGAAACUAUCAUAUCAAUUUACCGGCGGUUUAGGCUCCACUAAAUAAUACUAUGUCUUAAAAAUAUAUUAUUGUUUAAUUUUGUGAGGAUUUUUUCUAACUCACGUAUUAUUUAAAUAGGGGAUUUUUUCUAACUCACGUAUUAUUUAAUUUAGGCAUAUAUUUUUCUAUAUAUAGAGGAUGCUUUAUUCAUAGAAAAAAAAAGAGACUAGAUUAGCGAUUAAGGAUAAUUUCCACCAACACAAAGGUUUGGGUUUUAGAGAGAAACAAGAGGGGUUGUCUCUUAGUAUAAUUCUAGGGUUAGGCAAAAGGUUAUUCAAUUAACCUUGGGAAACACUUAUCAAAUUGAGUCUCUUUGUCACGGAAAGAGAUUCGGGAAAAGGGUAGAGUUAGGUUUGAAGGCUAAUUCUUAUAACCCUCUUUUGGGAAUUUUGUGUAAGUUUGCUGUAUUUGAUAUCGUGGAACGGAGCGCUGCUGUCUGCCCAAGACUAAGUUAAUUUGGACCGCACUAGGUAAACAAUUUUCUUUUCCUUUUAGAUUAUUAUUAUUAUUAUUAUUAUUAUU